ensembl:lncRNA
UUUUGAAAUGUAUAGAAAUAUUAAAUCACUAUAUUGUGUACCAGAAUCUAACGUAGUGUUGUAGGUCAAUUAUUCUUUGAUAAUAAACACAUUCAUAGAAAAAGAGAUUAGAUUUGUGGUUAUCAGAGUUGAGGAUGAGGGCAAUUGGAUGAAAGUAGCCAAAUGGUGCAAUCUUCCAAUUAUAGGAAAAAGGAGUACUAAGGAUGUCAUGUACAACAUGAAAAGAAUAAUUAACACCACUGCAUGUUAUAUAUGAAAGGUGAUAAAAUAGAAAAUCCUAAGUGUUCUCAUCACAAAGAAGGUAAUUUUUUCUUUAAUUUUGUAUCCAUAUGAGAGGGUGGAUGUCCACUGAACUAAUUGUGGUCAUCAUUUCAUGAAAUAUAUAAGUCAAAUCAUGAUGCUACACAUCUUUUUUUUUUUUUUUUUUUGUCUUUUAGGGCAUCACCGGUGGCAUAUGGAGGUUCCCAGGCUAGGGGUCCAAUAGGAGCUAUAGCUGCCAGCCUACACCGCAGCCACCAGCCUACACCACAGCCACAGCAAUGUGGGAUCUGAGCCGUGUCUGCGACCUACACCACAGCACAUGGCAAUUCCAGAUCCUUAACCCACUGAGCGAGUCCAGGGAUUGAACCCAUGUCCUCAUGGAUACUAGUUGGAUUCGUUAACCACUGAGCCACGAUGGGAACUCCCCCCCCCUUUUUUUUGGUGCUAUAAAUCUUAAACUUAUGCGGUGUUGUAUAAGUUUAAGAUAAAAAAAAACAAAAGGGGAGUUCGUGCUGUGGCACAGUAGGUUAAGAAUUCCACUGCAGCAGCUCAGGUCACUAUGGAGGCUUGGAUUCGAUUCCUGGCCUGGUGCAGUGGGUUAAAGUAUCUGGCAUAGGUCACAGCUACUCGGAUUUGAUCCCUGGCCCUGGGGACUUCCAUAUACCAUGAGUGCAGCCAUAAAAACAAAUGAACAAAAACGAAAAAACAAAUGAAAAAUGAGUGGAAGAGAAUGACUAAUCAUAACUAAAGAUUCUGCCUAAUUAAGUCUGGCUAAUGCCUCCCCAUAGCUUUUAAAGAUUCUUUUAUUUCUUGGAAGGACCUUUUGGAAGGAAGAUGCAAGGGCAAGAGGUAAACACAGACACUUCUGGGAACAGCACUGGCCCCUAACUCCUUCCCUUCCUCUGAGCUGCCAGUUUGAACAAGAGAAUCCAAUGUCUCCCAGACAGCUGCAGUGGCUGCUGAGAGCUGUGUCUUAGGCCAGUUUUCUCUGGUGGCCACGGAGCCAGCCAGCUGCUCACCCUGGGUGAUGAUGUCACCGCUCUCCGCUCCAUCACACCUGGCUCAGGGAAUCAGAUAAGCAUCAAGGGAAGAGGCCAAGGAAGGGCACAGUCUUGACAGGUGAACCAAAGACGCUUUUGUUUUCAGGGCUGGAGCUGGCUGCCAGCUUUGUGGAUUUCUGUCAGUCAGCAGGCUGCUGCACUUCUUUGCUUCUCUAUUUUCCUGAAAAAGAAACCAUUAGUGAUUUGCAAAGCUGCUCCAGAGCACAUGAAGCUUUAAUGUGAGGCUGCAAUUGCGUGAAGAUUGGGUAGCCAUCUCUGUACCUUGGCGGGAAGCCACAUCUAUGGGAGUGGGGCUGAUUAAUCACAGGAUGCUGAUCAGGGAGACAGGUGCUUAAUUGGUGGUGACUGAGUCCUGCCUGGCAUCUUGCAAUGGGGCCAGGCAGCAGCUGUAUGUCUGGCUCACCUGGGAUCAUUGUCCUGUCUGAUGCCUCCUCCCUUGGGACACCCAGGAUUUUACUGCCACCGUGGAUCCUGCCCUGUGCUUCUGGUGAAACUCACAGUGAUACCUUUGAGAGUUAGAACCUUUGAAGAAAAUGUUCCUUGAGCCCAGAAACUUUUGAGCCAAUACUACCCAUUUGGGGUCAGCUAAGGUGGCAAUGGGCUAACUUCCCCGUCUAUCUCUACCUCGAACCUUGUAGUUCUUAGCCUGGGGAUGGGGGACAGGGUGAGAGGGGAGGGGUGCUUCCUCAUUGAAUAGGGCUUAUUUGUUUAUAAAUGGAUUUGUAUUUUUAGGUUAUUACAGUUGUUUGCAGGUCUAGAGAAUCUUCUGAAGAAUAUUUCCUUUAGGGGGAAGGGACAGAGGGCAGUGACCCCAGGGACUCACUCUGCAUUGCCUGGACAAGCAGUCAGACCAGACUCUGUCCUCUCUGGGCUAUCCUAGCUCAGCCUCCUGUGGGAGUCUGGCUCCCUCUCCUCUUUGAGGACCCCAGGCCUCCAGGGAGCCCCAGGCAGCCAGAUGAUCUCCCCAGGUAACUCCUCUAAUUAGCUGGCCCCACCUCCAGCCCAGGACCAAACUGUCUUUGUUCUCCAGGGACAGAGUUACUGUCAUGCUUGUUUAAGAUUUCUCAAUGUCAACAUUAGCAUCUUGGCCCAGAUGAUUCUUGAUGGAAGGAGCUGUCAUGUGCUUUGUAGGAGGCUUAACAGCCUCCCUGGUGUCCACCCACUAGAUGCCAGUAACAAUGCUCAUCCCUAGUUGUGACAAACAACAGUGUCUCCAGAUAUUACCAAAUGUCUCUGGGGGUCAGGAGUGGCCCUAGUGGAACAGCAACUGAUCUGUUAGAAGGGAGACUCAGCAUGGGCAGGAAACUAGCUCUGGAAUAGAUUCCAUGAUGGCAGGACAGGUGGCCACUCAGAAGAGGUGGUUGUGCCCCAGGGAUCGUGGGCACCUGGGGAUGCCUUCCUGUCCAUCUGUCACUGACCUGGUACCUCCAUUCUGGUUUCUCCAAAUGGAACAUCCAAUAUGUGGGUUAAGAGAACAAGGAAACACAAGGGAAAAAAGUGAGGGAAAGUGAGACUGAAAACAAGAAAGUUACUAAAAUGUAGAGUGAGUAGAUUACUGCUGUAGAUGGAUGAGACUCAAAGGCUCUGGGAUCUUCUGAGAAGUGAUGUACAUUGCACUCCAGAAGUGUCCUUCCCAAGAUUGGAGCCAGGUGGUUUCCACUUGCCCCUCCCCCAAUCAGUAGAGGAUGCCACUGGGGACAUGAAUUUCCCUGCACUUUGUGGGUUGCUUGGGGUGUAGUGGGGGUGCUGGGUGCAAACCUCAACGGAGUUGAAAAGAAGUCAGGUGAUUCAGGUGGGAAGCCCUCUGCAUCUGAAGACUGUCUGCCAUGGCUGGGGGAUGCAUGCACGCAUGCUGAGAGGGUUGCUAGGGUGAGCCACUAACAGCAUCUGCUACUUUGUUAGUUUUCUUUUUCCACAGUAAUAUCUGUUUCUCAAUUCAUAGCAUGUGCUAUGGAGGGAUCUGUCCCAGUCCUGGUGAGUGACAGGUUGGAUGCACAGAGACCCAACUUGCAGGGCAGUCUCUGAUUGCCAUCCUGCUACUGGCAGAAGUAGGCAGAGGAUACUUCAGUGCUUUCUGAUAAUGCCAGUGGGGUGAGGAUUUGUUCUCUAAGAACCCUGAAUGUGUUAACAGUGAAAUGUGUAUCCCUCUCUGUGUUAUCUAUUUUCACAAGGGGUUUGUGACUUUUUUUUUUUUGUCUUUUUGCCGUUCCUUGGGCCGCUCCUGUGGUAUAUGGAGGUUCCCAGGCUAGGGGUCAAAUUGGAGCUGUAGCCACCGGCCUACACCAGAGCCACAGCAACACGGGAUCCGAGCUGCGUCUGCAACCUACACCACAGCUCACAGCAACGCUGGAUCCUUAACCUGCUGAGCAAGGCCAGAGAUCAAACCCGCAACCUCAUGGUUCUUAGUCAGAUUUGUUAACCACUGCACCACGACGGGAAUUCCCAGGGGUUUGUGAUUUAUCAGAGACCUGUGUGUGUUAAAGGAAUAUGUGGGGCAUCCCUGGGACUUAGUAUGCAGAUGCCAUGCUUACUAGGUACUGUGUAUUCUAGCAGGUCUGAUGAAAGAUGGGAAUGAGAGUCAUUGCUGUUUUCUGUGAAUGAGGAAAUUGAGACACAAUGUGGAGGGUCUAUAGGGAUUUCAGAGACUUUUCAUGGUGUUAUGAGAAGCCACAAAAGCCCAGGAUUAUUGCUCUUGCUUAUGGGUGGACGGGUUUGAAUGCCAAGCUGAAGGCUUUGAUUGCACACAAUAAGCCACUGGAAGCUUUCGAGGCCUGCCUAAUAAGGAAGGGACAGAUUAAAAACCAUGAUGGAGGGCUUCAUUCUCAUGGCUGUUGGAGAACAGUUAUUCUCCUGGCCGCCCAGCUGCAGAAGGGUUGAAGUAAUGAGAGACUGGAGUGGGAGAUACUAAGCAAGAAACUGUUCCACUGCUUCAAGGAUAAGAUGAUGGAGAUUAUAGAGGCAAAUCUGAAUCCAGAUAAGAAUUUCAAUCUUCUAGCAGUCCAUUCUAGAUGAUCUGGAAAUAUUUAGGUGAUAUGAUGUCAGGCUAGCCUGAUGGUAGGGUAGCAAGUGUCCUCUGAGGACCCCCCACCCCGCGGCCCAAGCCAUAGAAUCAUCUAGUGUUGCAGCUGGAAAGAUCCAGGGUCAUCUACUCCCGUGGUGGCUGACAUGGAGGCCUGGAGAGCCCAGACAGUAGCGUGUGAGUAGGCAUGAUUUCAACUCAUAUAUCCACCUAUUGUGGGCAUGGGGUGACAGAGUAUUCUGGAAACAUGGUCACAAAUGCUUGCACCAGUUCCUGAGAGCUGACAGUUCAAUUUUAAGGAAAUGUGUAAGUUGGCUGAUGUGCCUGUGGCCACUUGAAAUCCACUAUGGCAGGAGUAUAAAUACCUGCCAUUUAUACCAUUGAAAUUG